UACGUAGGGUGCGAGCGUUAAUCGGAAUUACUGGGCGUAAAGCGUGCGCAGGCGGUUUCGUAAGACAGAUGGGAAAACCCCGGGCUUAACCUGGGAACUGCGUUUGUGACUGCGAGACUCGAGUGUGGCAGAGGGGGGUGGAAUUCCACGUGUAGCAGUGAAAUGCGUAGAGAUGUGGAGGAACACCGAUGGCGAAGGCAGCCCCCUGGGUUGACACUGACGCUCAUGCACGAAAGCGUGGGUAGCAAACAGG
rnacentral:rRNA from 1 species